GAUGAACGCUGGCGGCGUGCUUAACACAUGCAAGUCGAACGGGAAACCUUUUAAUGAAGCUUCGGCAGAUUUAGCUGGUUUCUAGUGGCGGACGGGUGAGUAACGCGUGGGUAACCUGCCUUAUACAGGGGGAUAACAGUCAGAAAUGACUGCUAAUACCGCAUAAGCGCACAGGACCGCAUGGUCCGGUGUGAAAAACUCCGGUGGUAUAAGAUGGACCCGCGUUGGAUUAGCUUGUUGGUGGGGUAACGGCUCACCAAGGCGACGAUCCAUAGCCGGCCUGAGAGGGUGAACGGACACAUUGGGACUGAGACACGGCCCAGACUCCUACGGGAGGCAGCAGUGGGGAAUAUUGCACAAUGGGGGAAACGCUGAUGCAGCGACGCCGCGUGAAGGAAGAAGUAUCUCGGUAUGUAAACUUCUAUCAGCAGGGAAGAUAGUGACGGUACCUGACUAAGAAGCCCCGGCUAACUACGUG
rnacentral:rRNA from 1 species